UACGUAGGGGCCUAGCGUUGUCCGGAUUUAUUGGGCGUAAAGAGCUCGUAGGCGGUUUGUCGCGUCUGCUGUGAAAACUGGAGGCUCAACCUCCAGCCUGCAGUGGGUACGGGCAGACUAGAGUGCGGUAGGGGAGAUUGGAAUUCCUGGUGUAGCGGUGGAAUGCGCAGAUAUCAGGAGGAACACCGAUGGCGAAGGCAGAUCUCUGGGCCGUAACUGACGCUGAGGAGCGAAAGCGUGGGGAGCGAACAGG
rnacentral:rRNA from 1 species